CAAUGACAUUGUAACAAAAACAUUAUGGCACUCACUUAUUUUCACAUCUCCGGUAGAGGGGGCGCAAUGCUUUUUAUUAGAUACAGUAGAAAUUACUAUGCAAUGUUAAAGAGACAAAAACAUUUGACGCGGAUGUAGAGAGUGUGUAACCUGUAAAGAUAGCACCACCUCCCGAUCAUUUUGUUAGGCUGUGAUACCCUGGUAAUUUGUACAUACAUUUACCGAUUUCGGGGAGAAGUAGCUUCUUCAGAUUCACCAUCACUUCUGACGGGACCCUCCGGAGGAUAAUAAUCAAUUGAGUAUUGAUACACACCCAACUAAAAAGUAAUUUUACAGGGACGUCAAAAUGCUACGGAUUUACUUGUGCUUGAGUGUUGUUGUCAACGUGGCCGUCUCGCAGGAAGCUGAGGAACCCAUCUCAUACACGUGUACAGAUGGCUAUACAUUUGACAUGGAACGACAAGAAUGCAAAGGUAAGAGGUGCUUAUCCACACUUUGUCAAAUGUCCUUUCUGACUUAAUGAAUAUAUUGAUUAGUAGAGGAAUUGAAUAGCACUGUGGAAGAGAUACGAUCAGUUCUAGCAGACACUGAUACAGUAUGUGUAUACC
rnacentral:lncRNA from 1 species